rnacentral:rRNA from 1 species
GACAGAGGGUGCAAACGUUGUUCGGAAUUACUGGGCGUAAAGCGUGUGUAGGCGGCUAUGUAAGUCGGAUGUGAAAGCCCUGGGCUCAACUCAGGAAGUGCACUCGAUACUGCGUAGCUAGAGUACCGGAGAGGUUGGUGGAAUUCUCGGUGUAGAGGUGAAAUUCGUAGAUAUCGAGAGGAACACCGGUGGCGAAGGCGGCCAACUGGACGAGUACUGACGCUGAGACACGAAAGCGUGGGGAGCAAACAGG